CAGCAGCCGCGGUAAUACGUAGGGCGCGAGCGUUGUCCGGAAUUAUUGGGCGUAAAGAGCUUGUAGGCGGUUUGUCGCGUCUGCUGUGAAAGGCCGGAGCUUAACUCCGUGUAUUGCAGUGGGUACGGGCAGACUAGAGUGCAGUAGGGGAGACUGGAAUUCCUGGUGUAGCGGUGGAAUGCGCAGAUAUCAGGAGGAACACCGAUGGCGAAGGCAGGUCUCUGGGCUGUAACUGACGCUGAGAAGCGAAAGCAUGGGGAGCGAACAGGAUUAGAUACCCUGGUAGUCCAUGCCGUAAACGUUGGGCACUAGGUGUGGGGGACAUUCCACGUUUUCCGCGCCGUAGCUAACGCAUUAAGUGCCCCGCCUGGGGAGUACGGCCGCAAGGCUAAAACUCAAAGAAAUUGACGGGGGCCCGCACAAGCGGCGGAGCAUGCGGAUUAAUUCGAUGCAACGCGA
rnacentral:rRNA from 1 species